GCCAGACUCCUACGGGAGGCAGCAGUGGGGGAUAUUGCACAAUGGGGGGAACCCUGAUGCAGCGACGCCGCGUGGGUGAAGGAGCGUUUCGGCGCGUAAAGCCCUAUCGGCAGGGAAGAAGGAGGACGGUACCUGACUAAGAAGCCCCGGCUAACUACGUGCCAGCAGCCGCGGUAAUACGUAGGGGGCAAGCGUUAUCCGGAUUUACUGGGUGUAAAGGGGGCGCAGACGGCAGCGCAAGCCAGGAGUGAAAGCCCGGGGCCCAACCCCGGGACUGCUCUUGGAACUGCGCGGCUGGAGUGCAGGAGGGGCAGGCGGAAUUCCUGGUGUAGCGGUGAAAUGCGUAGAUAUCAGGAGGAACACCGGUGGCGAGGGCGGCCUGCUGGACUGCGACUGACGUUGAGGCCCGAAAGCGUGGGGAGCAAACAGGAUUAGAUACCCGUGUACGC
rnacentral:rRNA from 1 species